rnacentral:rRNA from 1 species
GCAUUAAUCCCCCCAGGGGAACCUGGCUCUUAAUUCGAUGAUCCACGAACCUCUUACCUUUCCUAGUUUUCAGGCGGCCUUUUUUUGGAAAAAGGAGUCUGAUUGUCAGUUUGCAUACCGCCGUUUCGUAGCUUGUAUCGUGAGAGGAAAUAAACAGGUGGAUCAGUAGCUUGAAAUCUAGCGUGCUAAUAAUUCAGGUAAACGUGCAGCCAACGGAAAGGGGGUGCUGGGUUACAAUUGGGGUUUGUAAUGGCGUGGCUACCUUAAGGGUAAGGCAAAAGAGUACUUGGAAGUAAUGGCCUUGGGCAAUGAGGCUGUGAAUAGUGCUCUAGUGUGUGU